UAAUAGCGCAUUAAAUAACGAGAUAGCAAAGGGAUAAUGUUGAAGAGUGAGUAUGAAGGGAAGAUGAAAACGAAGUAUGACUUUCUUAUAACUUUAAUAAAACAAAGAUAGAGUUUCAAAGAGAAAGGGUACAAGGUAGAUCUCACGUAUUCCUUGUGGCUUGCUCUGAAAUCCCUUAACUGCCAUCGUUUCAAGUUCUCUGAAGUGUUUAUGACAGCUUAUUUUCCAUCAUUGGUUUCGUGCCCCAUUCUUUAUUUCUCCUUUUUUGUUUCUUGGGAUG
rnacentral:misc_RNA from 1 species